UACACACGUGCUACAAUGGCCUGUACAAAGGGCAGCAAAGGGCGACCCGGAGCAAAUCCCAAAAAACCAAGGUCUCAGUUCGGAUUGCAGGCUGCAACUCGCCUGCAUGAAGGCGGAAUCGCUAGUAAUCGCAGGUCAGCAUACUGCGGUGAAUACGUUCCCGGGCCUU
rnacentral:rRNA from 1 species